AAAUGGUAUUUAGAAGUGUUGCUAACUUAACAUUUAGGUUUCGGCAUAACAAAGCUUGCACUGUCUUUUCGCACUUAGGCACACAGCGUGCCAUUGGUAAUGAUUCUAAUACGGUGCCACAAAUUCGCAAGCUGAUCCUAAGUAAUCAUUGUUCUUCAUUGGAUUCCAGAGGAACUACUUCGUUAGGAUUGGGGAAUUGAUGUGAUUCUUCCUUAAUAGCCUGGAUUCUCCCGUCGAGAGUCACUUUGAAAGUCUUACCUAAACUCUUCCAACUGAAUAUGAUAAAGCCUAUAAAACAAGCAGCUACUAUCAUUUCUUCAUUAUAGAUUAAGAUCUUCUUCGAACUUAAUGCACAAA